GCCGCCUCACGCGUUGAAGUCAGUGCAAUUGCAUCGGAAAUCAACGAGGGCGAGGAUCGAUCCUGUCGUUACCUAGUGUUCGUAUGCGCCUUGUCGAAUUCGUCACCCACUUGGAGCUUCACCUGACCCCAAGCACUGACCACGCUGCCUCCUACGCCUGGCCGCAAUCCCAAGGACUUCUACAGGCUCUGGAUCCAUCCAACAGAGCGCUUCUCAACCUACCGGGUUCAAUUCUACACGAUGAUCACACGUAAACGAGGGCUGAGCGCUGGACUCUGCGAUGCCGAUCAUUGCGUGUCUAGCUUCCUCUCACUCGCUAGUCAACAGGAGCAGCUUCGGGAAGAUAGACCGCUUUUCCAACACCAGACCUCUUCAACAAAUAUGUAUGUUGGUUAUUGGUUGCUUGAUGGGACUGAGGACCGGACUCCAGCAAUAUGCCUCUGUUUACUCUUUACAAUGAAGUUUCAGGGUUCCUUGAAGGCUUGUAUUCUACUGGGUAGACAAUUCCUCUACGCGGAUUCAUGUUAUCAUGUGACGUCUUGGUGUUAAUUGUUGGGUGCGUGCAGUCUUGGGCACUGAGGGUUCCGAUGUAGCGCCCCAAGUAGAAGUAGCGUGGUUUCUUUGAUGAGCAAGCGUUACCGAAGCCGCUGAUGCUGCAGCUACCUACUAACAGCACGGAAUUCUCUUCAGAUGCUGGUGGCAAAAAACUCCGCUCCGAUGUUGGCUUUGCGGGUUUGCAUUCACUCUUAUUGGUCUUCUCGCACCAGGAUUUGGUCAAUCUUUGAUGGUGUUAUAGUGUGUUGUGUGCACCAGAUAAGCUGGUUGUUCGUAAACCGCGGCUGCUUUUCAACUAAGAGUUCAGAUCCGUUCACCAAAUGGUCCCGAUGUUGCGUGCAGCAAGUCGACGCAUUAGUAAGGGGACUUGUUGAAACGUCAGUAAGGUAGCGCGCAACAUAAUUUCUGCGUAGGAGCUCCAGUGCUUUUGCAUUUUCAUCGCACAGAAGCUUAAGGCGGCGGAAGUUGUAAGUAACUGAGAAGCAAUGUAGAACCAUGAGAGACGACUCCAAAACGAUUUAACAACUCACUUCAGGAACCAUACGUUGGGCUGUGGUUAUCAUCUAACCAUCACCAUGAGGGGGUAUAUUCGCCUCGACCUUGGUUAUCUGCCUCUUGCAAUCUCAUUUUGCGGAGUCUAGAAUUCUCCUCUAAGAGCGGUGACUGCGUCAAGCGACUAGAGCACUACCUCCUGUUUUCUUGUCUUCUAAAACGUCUGAGCACCACUGGUGCUGAGUCCGUACAAAAGACUUGGAUUAUUAGAAUGCGAACCUUUUCAUUGAGCGCCUACAUCGAUGAUGCGCAGUUGUGAAGUUUGGGACAUGCAGCAGCGCAUUGUGUUACAGCACUAGCGAAGCUAACGUUGCGCUCACUAUCAUAGAGUGUGGGAAGUUGUCUUCGUCUGUUUGUCUAUAUUCUUUUACGAAGCAUGUCGCUUGAAUCAAUCUUUUAAUUUUGCAUUCCGAUCUGGAUGGCUAAUUUCGAUGAUGCGUUGCAUCGAUGGUGGCUGAGUUGUCCGCAUGACCCCAGGCAUUUCUGCAAACGUAGCCCCAUUUUCGAUUAUAAUAGCUCACGCUAACUCCACAUCUUCAUUGCCUCGUUAGGUCGAUACCGACAAAGUAGGGAAAUAUGAUUUUUAGAUUAAGCGUAUACAGGAGAUAGACAUUCGAAGAGGAAAAUGCCGCCUUUGAGAAGAGAGGAAGUUUCUCUUGCGCCAUCACUGUAAUCGUACACAGACGGCAUCUCCUGUCUAAUUCACGCAAUCACAGUAAUCGUACACAACCCUGCAGAUCCUGUGCAAUCUUGGGCGAAGUUGGACUUCUCAACGUCGGCAAGAGCAUAUAGAAUCAUGUCACCUUGUGUAUGUUGAAAGAGAACGAUCAAGAGAGACGCCUAAGGGAGUCGCCAGCACAGGACUUGCCCCAAGCUUCAUCCAAACAACCUUAUUCAAGUUCGCCAGCAUUGAAGCACAGUCUUGAAUCCAUUCGCAACAUGAUUCUUUUUUUUCAGCUCUUCUGCAGGGCAAGAAAGGCGAAGUUAAAGUCUACGUUGCGGACAUCAGCAGCACUUUCUGCAUGCAAUUUUCGACGUUUCUGGAAGCUUUAGCAACUCGGUUCAUGAAAGUUUUACGCAGGCUAUCAACCAUCAUGGUUUUCUGCCAAGAAACAGUCCUGAAGGUGAUGCAGCAACGUCAAGCGAUAAAAGACAGUUCCCUGAGAUUCUCGUCACAAAGACAUGGGCUUCAAACGCGCUCCUUACUGCUACAAUGACGUCGACUACAUUCACACACGUCGAAAAAGAUACCACAAAGGCUGAGGUCUUGACAUCAUUCACACAGAUUACACCUCACCUCUAAAGAGAAGGUGGUCAUUUUCAACACUACUUGGAAGCUCAUCACAAUCCCGUCACCUUAAACUAACAAACAACACCAGAAACAAGGAGCAUUCAUUCACCCAGUGAACCAUUUUGUUUACAGAGGAUAUUCGAUGCUUGUGAUUCUAUAAAUAGUAAUAAUUUCAAAAAGAUUUAUUGAUCUUUAACUCUUCCACUUUACUAUGGAUUAUAUGUUUUUAAUCUUAAUUCCUUUAUUGAUAUGACGUAUCUAUCUUUUAUUAUUACCUUUGUAAAUACAUAAGCAAACAUCUUUUA